AUGGUGGGGCAGACCAUGAUGCGCAUCGUGCGCCCCUGCUUCAAGCCCUCGCUGCCCGACGGCGCGCAGGUCGUCGCCGCCGGGGGCGGCGGCACCAGGGAGGGCCUGCUCUGGUACAGGGACGCCGGCCGCCACGCCUGCGGCGACUUCUCCAUGGCCGUCGUGCAGGCCAACCAGCUGCUCGAGGACGCCAGCCAGCUCGAGGCCGGGCCCCUCGUCGCCGCCGACGGGCCCUGCGCCACCUUCGUCGGCGUCUACGACGGCCACGGCGGGCCCGAGACCGCCCGCUUCGUCGCCGAUAACCUCUUCCACCACCUAAAGAAGUUUGCGACGGAACAACAAACCGUGUCGGCCGACGUGAUACGCAGAUCCUACGCUGCCACGGAGGAGGGGUUUCUGAACCUUGUGAGGAAGCAGUGGCUCAUCAAGCCGCAGAUCGCCUCGGUCGGUACGUGCUGUUUGGUUGGCAUUAUCAACGAAGGGGUCCUCUACAUAGCAAACACCGGUGAUUCUCGUGCUGUCCUCGGGAGACUUGAGCGGGGCGUCAAAGACAUUAGGGCUGUUCAGCUCUCGUCCGAGCAUAACGCGAGCUUUCAGGAGGUAAGGGAUGAGCUAAGACAGAUGCACCCAGACGACCCGCGGAUCGUGGUCCUCAAGCACAAUGUUUGGCGCGUGAAGGGCAUUAUUCAGGUUUCCAGAACGAUCGGUGACGCCUACCUAAAAAGUUCGGAGUUUAACCGCGAGCCUCUUCUGGCACGGUUCCGUAUUCCAGGGCCCUUCCAUAAACCAAUUCUUUGUCCGGAACCAUCCAUUGAAGAACACAGACUGUGUGCAGAAGAUCAGUUUGUUAUAUUUGCGUCAGAUGGACUAUGGGAGCACUUGAGCAAUCAGGAAGCUGUGGAUAUAGUUCACUGUUCACCUCGGAAUGGCAUUGCGAGACGACUAAUAAAAGCAGCUCUGCGGGAGGCGGCAAAGAAGAGAGAAAUGAGAUACUCAGACUUGAAGAAGAUCGACCGCGGGGUCAGGAGGCACUUCCACGAUGAUAUUACUGUUGUGGUAUUAUUCAUGGAACCCGCGCUUAUCAGCAGGAGGCUCUACGGUGGGCCGUUGCUUUCGCUAAGGGGUGGUGGCAGCACGCCAACGUUUGCACAGAAAUGCUGA
rnacentral:rRNA from 1 species